UUACGUAUUCGUUCGGCUGGCCCCUCUUCCUCGCUUUCAGCUAGGGGGAUGGGUUCGGCCGAAGCGCCUAACGCCACG
rnacentral:pre_miRNA from 1 species